rnacentral:rRNA from 2 species
CCCGCUCGCCGGAAGACCAAGGGUUCCUGUCCAACGUUAAUCGGGGCAGGGUGAGUCGACCCCUAAGGCGAGGCCGAAAGGCGUAGUCGAUGGGAAACGGGUUAAUAUUCCCGUACUUGGUGUUACUGCGAAGGGGGGACGAAGAAGGCUAGGCCGGCCGGGUGACGGUUAUCCCGGUUUAAGCGUGCAGGUGGGUGGUUUUGGAAAAUCCGGACCGCCGUUAACACUGAGGCGUGAUGACGAGGCGCUACGGCGCUGAAGUGGUUGAUGCCCUGCUUCCAGGAAAAGCCUCUAAGCU